GGCGCACGGGUGAGUAACACGUACCCAACCUACAUCACUCGGGGAUAGCCUUUCGAAAGAAAGAUUAAUACCCGAUAGUCUAGGAAUAAAGCAUUUUAUUUUUAGUAAAGAAUUUCGGUGUUUGAUGGGGAUGCGUUCCAUUAGAUUGUUGGUGAGGUAACGGCUCACCAAGUCUUCGAUGGAUAGGGGUUCUGAGAGGAAGGUCCCCCACAUUGGAACUGAGACACGGUCCAAACUCCUACGGGAGGCAGCAGUGAGGAAUAUUGGUCAAUGGACGAGAGUCUGAACCAGCCAAGUAGCGUGAAGGACGAAGGCCCUACGGGUCGUAAACUUCUUUUAUAGGGGAAUAAAGUGGAGAACGUGUUCUCCUUUGUAUGUACCCUACGAAUAAGGAUCGGCUAACUCCGUGCCAGCAGCCGCGGUAAU
rnacentral:rRNA from 1 species